rnacentral:ncRNA from 1 species
UCCUUAUCAAGAGCAGGGGAGGAAUUUGGUCCCGCGAUCCUGCAGCAACCUGUCAGUUUUGACAAGGUGCUAACUCCAACAGACGUUAAGUCUGGAAGAUGAGGA